AUUGAACGCUGGCGGCAUGCUUUACACAUGCAAGUCGAACGGCAGCGCGUGCUUCGGCCUGGCGGCGAGUGGCGAACGGGUGAGUAAUACAUCGGAACGUGCCCAGUAGUGGGGGAUAGCUCGGCGAAAGCCGGAUUAAUACCGCAUACGACCUGAGGGUGAAAGCGGGGGAUCUUCGGACCUCGCGCUAUUGGAGCGGCCGAUGGCAGAUUAGCUAGUUGGUGGGGUAAAGGCCUACCAAGGCGACGAUCUGUAGCUGGUCUGAGAGGACGACCAGCCACACUGGGACUGAGACACGGCCCAGACUCCUACGGGAGGCAGCAGUGGGGAAUUUUGGACAAUGGGCGAAAGCCUGAUCCAGCAAUGCCGCGUGUGUGAUGAAGGCCUUCGGGUUGUAAAGCACUUUUGGCGGGAACGAAAAGGACUGUGCCAAUACCAAGGUUCGAUGACGGUACCCGAAGAAUAAGCACCGGCUAACUACGUG
rnacentral:rRNA from 1 species